CUUGGAUGUUGGCCUGUCCAAAUCUGCAGUGGUUUUUUAAAUAGUGGCUCACUUUUCAGAAAGGUCCCACAUGCUCAUUAACACUCUCAGAAAGAGAAGGGCUCUAUUUUAUCCUAAAGGGAUGGACUCUACUUCCUCUAGCUGAUUUCAUCUUCUGGAAAGUCCCAUUCCCCCAAGAAGUUCAGUUUAUGGAACUGAAACUAGCAUAAAAUUAGUCUAGAAUAUUACUGUGCUAUAAGAACGGUGUCCAGAGGCAGGCUUCUAAAGUUUAAGCCUAUUUUUAAGAGGCGAAAAAUACAGUAUUUGCUUCGCAGAAAAGGAAAAAUUACAACACACUAGGAAAGUGUGUGCUUGAAAACUGGAAGAGUUAAUCCACAGGAGACCUGGGCAAGUUUGAACAGUGCAAUUUAAAGUUAACAGUUCUCCCUAAGUAAAUGUACCCAUUGAUUAAACAUAAUAUUCCUUCCAGCAUCUUCUUCCCUGAAACCUUAUUAACGGCUGAGCUUCUGUUCCAGUGGAAAUAAAAGCGAAAAUCUUCAAAGCAGGUUUUUAUAAAGGGGGUUUUAAAUUAAAUAAAUUAUACUGACCUAACCUGCAGCUGAGCUUUCUCCUCCUUUGAUCACAUACUAGUACUAGUCGUCGUAUCUGUUUUGUACAAGUGUAACAUCACAGUAUCAAGAUAUGGAUUCAGUCAGUCAUGGUUUGUUUGUGCCUUACAUGAUUGUGGCGUUUUCUUAAGUGCCUCUGUGGUGGCUAUCUCGUCUUGAGUCCCUUAUUAUGUUCCUUUUUCUGUUCUAGAUAUUUUUAUCUGGCAGCUGUGAACCUUUUUAAAAGUUCAACUCAAAGGAAUAAACAUUGCCACACUGAA